rnacentral:misc_RNA from 1 species
CAGAGUUAUCUAACUCCCAAACCCAUGUGAACUUACCUUUUGUUGCCUCGGCAGUGCCUACCCUGUAGCCAGUUACCCUGUAGCGAGUUACCCUGUAACGACCUACCCUGUAGCCGGCUACCCUGUAGCGCCUGCCGAUGGACCAUUAAACUCUUGUUAUUUUUAAGUAAUCUGAGCGUCUUAUUUUAAUAAGUCA